GAUUUCAACUAAAAAAGUCAUCAGCAAUAAAGUUGUAUAACUCAUCGUGAUCUAUAACUUUUAUUUGUGUCAUUUCUUCAUCAACAAAGUGUUAGUAACAUUCUUCAUAAAAUUUAUAUAUUUGUGUUAUAGUUUAUAAAACCAUAUGAGAGAUAUGUGAUUUUAUCAACAAUGUUACUAUUAUUUUAUCGGAUGAAGAAAUGACCAAAAUAAACAUUAUAGAUCUUGAUGAGUUAUAUAUCUUUGUUGCUGAUGACUUUUUCAGUUGAAAUC
rnacentral:pre_miRNA from 1 species